AUCCUGGCUCAGAUUGAACGCUGGCGGCAGGCCUAACACAUGCAAGUCGAGCGGUAACAUGCCUUCGGGUGAUGACGAGCGGCGGACGGGUGAGUAAUGCUUGGGGAUCUGCCCGAUGGCGGGGGACAACCACUGGAAACGGUGGCUAAUACCGCAUAAUGUCUACGGACCAAAGUGUGGGACCUUCGGGCCACACGCCAUCGGAUGAACCCAAGUGAGAUUAGCUAGUUGGUGGGGUAAAGGCUCACCAAGGCGACGAUCUCUAGCUGGUUUGAGAGGAUGAUCAGCCACACUGGGACUGAGACACGGCCCAGACUCCUACGGGAGGCAGCAGUGGGGAAUAUUGGACAAUGGGGGCAACCCUGAUCCAGCCAUGCCGCGUGUGUGAAGAAGGCCUUCGGGUUGUAAAGCACUUUCAGCGAGGAGGAAGGGGGUAGUGUUAAUAGCACUAUUUCUUGACGUUACUCGCAGAAGAAGCACCGGCUAACUCUGUGCCAGCAGCCGCGGUAAUACAGAGGGUGCAAGCGUUAAUCGGAAUUACUGGGCGUAAAGCGCACGCAGGCGGUUUGUUAAGUCAGAUGUGAAAUCCCCGGGCUCAACCUGGGAAUUGCAUUUGAAACUGGCAAGCUAGAGUACGAGAGAGGGGGGUAGAAUUCCACGUGUAGCGGUGAAAUGCGUAGAGAUGUGGAGGAAUACCGGUGGCGAAGGCGGCCCCCUGGCUCGAUACUGACGCUCAGGUGCGAAAGCGUGG
rnacentral:rRNA from 1 species